GUUUGAGAGGUCAAGCCAGAAAAUUCUGUCCUGAUGAGGCAAAGCAUGGGGUCCCUCUUGACUGGCAACUCAAUGAAAACGGCCCUGGAAGGCAGGAGCGUGAGACCAGGGGAGUUUUCUGAAACAUCCUGAUGCACUAGGGCAUGUUGGAGGAUGGCCAACUCAUUCAACAGUUCAUUACCGAUUGAACAUUAGACUGAUGUUGGCUUGACUUUGUGAUUUGUCAUCUCAGCACAAAAGUCGCUUUGUUGACCACAGCCUGGCAUCAGCCUGGGCGCCUGCCAGCAUAAUCUGUCCUAGACAGCCGCUCACUGAGCCACGGACAGGGUGGGCAUAAGCUGGGCAUGGAGCAUGGCGAGAGGGCGACUGCGGGCAAAGGCGGGACUGGAGUCACAGCUGUGACCCCAUUCCCCAGACACCCCCUUCCAUUUCCCUUCCUCAUCAUUCUUAUAGCUUGGCUCUGUAACCAGUCACCAGAGCAUGUGUCACUGAGCCACUGCUCCAGUUCUGAGUGCCUUUUUCAAAAGCCAUUUGAUAUUUACUCCAACUAACACCAACAACGUUAAGCUAUUUUUUGGAAGGCUUUGCCUCAAUUUCCCCCCAUGGGAUCAAUACACUUUAGCCUUUCUUCUCUUUAUACUUGAAGAAUACAUGUCAUCUGUUGGUUGGGUCAGCAAAUGCACAAAAUAAAG